CGGGACGGGGUGGAGUAAUGUCUGGGAAACUGCCCGAUGGAGGGGGGUAACUACUGGAAACAGUAGCUAAUACCGCAUAACGUCGCAAGACCAAAGAGGGGGACCUUAGGGCCUCUUGCCAUCGGAUGUGCCCAGAUGGGAUUAGCUAGUAGGUGGGGUAACGGCUCACCUAGGCGACGAUCCCUAGCUGGUCUGAGAGGAUGACCAGCCACACUGGAACUGAGACACGGUCCAG
rnacentral:rRNA from 1 species